rnacentral:tRNA from 1 species
GCCUGGGUGGCUCAGUUGGUUGAGCAUCCGACUUCGGCUCAGGUCAUGAUCUCACGGUCUGUGGGUUCGAGCCCCGCGUCGGGCU